UACAUUUUAGUAUAAGAGGUACGUAAACUUUUGAAGUUUUGGGAGAUGGUUUGAGUCCAUCAUGUGUAA
rnacentral:tRNA from 1 species